AUCGUCUUAAAAUUAUUAUUAUUAUUAUUAUUACAAAUGGAACGCACAGGAUACAAAGCAUGCCUUCAAAAAUCGAAUCAAAAUUCAGCCCUCACUGAAAGCCCCGCCCAUUACAAUACUGAUUAAAUAGAAAAUAUUUGUGUAAUCUAAGGAUUAUAUUUCAUGCAUUGAUAACAACAAUCAGAAACAUGUUUGCCAAAUUUGUAUUUACAUUAUUAUUAUUAUUAUUAUUAUUAUUAUUAUUGUUAUUAUUAUUAUUAUUAUUAUCAUCACACAACGGUAAGCGACAACUCAGUGAUUGUUUAGUGAAGUGAGAUGAUUUACGCAAGCUCUGCUCUGAUCUCUGACUGUGUGCUGAGCGGAAGGGGAAAUAGUUCCUGUCCUGCACAGCUAGAGUUCAUUUAUUUCAUUUCCUCACGUGUGAUAUACAGUUAUUUCCAAGCCAGACAAUUAUUUUAAAAACUAUUGAAAGAAACGUUUAUUAUCGAUAUCAUAAAACGAGGAUAAAUUCUCAUGAAUUAACGAAUCAGAGUAUCGCGAUAUCAAGAUCCAUCCGCCUGCGCCUCCUGAAAUACUUCCAGCAGCGACACACACACAGCGUGCUCCAGCUGCAUACCUUAGGACUGUGAGCCCGUCUCCCGCUUAAAAACAACCCUCAAACUCACUGGAGGAGCUCAAACAAGACUCGAAGCCUCGAUAGUUGUGCAUGUGGUGACUAAAUAUGAAGGUUAAACUCCAUUCAGACGCUGAUUCGCAGACACAAAGUUGCUCCAGCAGUGAUGAGGAGGGAACAAACAGCGACAACCAGUUUAUCGUCGUCAAGCUUGAAGAUGAAGAUCCAGAAACCGAGAUGGAUCUGAGUAUAUUUGCCCCUGUCGAGUCCUCGGAGUGUGAGGAAGAGGAUGAUGAAGAUGACGAUGAUCUUUCCGAGUCCUGCAGUGUUUCUACCUGGAGAAGGAAAAACACCCGGGAGCGAGAUAACCAGGAGGAUCCUUCCAGGAGAAGUUUAACAGGACAGCGAAAGAGUCGACAGACCUCUCUAUCCGAGCAGAGACACAAGCAGAGUCUGGACUGCAGUGUGGCAAACAGGGACGUGAAUGUCGGACUCCCGUCUGAGAAUCACACAUUUUACCAAGCUGCGCCUCCGUCUGAUUCAGCCUGUCGAGGUCCCGUAGAGACGUCUGGACUGGGAACAGCAGUCAGCCCUUUAGCUGCCAUGGAGCCUCCUGUAUUUCCAAAUGCACCAGUACAGAGCACAUCUGUCGUUGGGGAGGAUCAGCAGAGUAUACUACUUGAGGUCCUGAACCAUUGUAGGUUCCUGCAUGCAGCAGUGCAGAGGCUUGAACAGAAGCUCGACCGACAGAUGUCAAAUGAGCCAUUAUAUGAAAGAAGCUCAGCGAUGCUGAAGAAUGGUCCAAAGAGAAGGGCGUCUCUGCGUGUUGAAGAAAGGCAGAUGUCCUGGUCUUUGGGCCAGAGACUUGAUCCACCAGUCCAGAGAAACCCACGCUGGAUCCCUCCCUGGAAACGAGGGCUGGACAAGGCAGACCUUCAGCAGGAUGACAACAGCAUCCCUCAGCCGGGCAAACCCCCCGGUGUAGGACGAGGCAGGGGGCGAGGCAGGGGCAGGGGAAGAGGCAGAGGACGGGGGCGCGGUAACGGAUCCCAGCGUCAGUCUCAAACUCAAGAUCCUGCUUCACUAAUCUCAAAGCCCAAUGGAGAAGAGGUCUGCACUGCAUCCACAGAAGAGCCACAGCCGUCCCAGGUAAUGAAGGAAGGCUGUCCGGCUGACACGGGCCCAAAGCGUCAGCAGAAAAGAAAGAAAUCCUUUACUCAGGUGGACGGGGAGGAUGUUCAACUGGAGAAGAUGCCCAACAGUAAAGAGGCCACACUUGAAGUUCAGGUCGACCAAGUAAUGAUCGGAAGCCCCUUGAGGAAAGUCUGGAUCCCUCUGUCUGUGUACAAGGAGGUGUUUAAGCAGGCGGAGCCCCAGAAGGCGGUCGUGCCGGUGCUCCACGCUCUCUUCCCCAUCAGCACACUGUCCUGCAGUGCGGUCACAGGAAACCCUGCAAAAGGCAUCCAGCAACUCGACCCCAACAAAAUAGAAGCCCUUCGAGAGUUUCUUGCUGAGAUGUACCCCCAGUUUGACGUCGGUGUGAGGGGUGUGACGUGGGCACAGUGUCUUGGAGUGAUAAACAACAUCAACAAAGACCUCAAGAAACAAGUGGAAAAAACCUCACACCUGCCAACAGAGGGCAUUUACACAAGGAAUGAUUGUUCAUACUCCUGAAGACACUCAUACUCGCUCGAUGUGCAACAACGUAACCAGUCUCAUUCACUUCAAUCAAUCAUCUGAACUGAUACAGUGUUCAUAACUGACUGUUUUGACAACAGCUGUCUUUUGUUCUCUCUACUAUAGCUGCUGAGUUCAAUGGAGAGAGGUUUUGGAUGUGUAAUAUAUUAACAAAUCCUCUGUUCUUAAUAAAUUUGUAUAUUAACUUUAAUUUUUGUUUAAACAUAUGUUAUUGUAUAUUUUAUAUAGCCAAAUAAAGACUUUUUCAGAUUUCCUGUUGAAAAUUAUUAGUAAUAUCAAAGUAAGAAUGAGUAUAAAUCAUGAAUUAAAUAUAAGUAGCGCAUUCAAGAAAAACAAGUAACAGCUACUGACAGCAUUUCUUGACACAAACAGCCUCAGCAAUACGGAGGUGAAACCUUUUCUACACAGAGUCGUUUUGAUCAGAUACUCAGCACUAGCGUAUGCCCAUCUUGCACUUGUAUCGAAACUUGCGGAUGGUGCUGUUUAUAGCACCUACACAAACCUUCCAGUCACUUCCGUCUUCCUUCAGCCUCAUCCAGGGAAAACAUUCCAGCAAGUGCUCUGAAGAAGAUCAGGAACCGAGAACUAGACCUUAUUCACAAUCACUUAUUGUCUUAUUGACAAUGAAUGCCAUGCCGCGUCUCGCCGUACACGUUACUGCACACCAGCACAUCCUCUGGGAAGAUGAACUUAAUGAGGUAUCAAGCGCUGAGCUCGGGACGUGUUCGCAGAUGCGCGGCAGACAAGGCAUGCUCAGGAACCUUCACAUCCCGAUAAGGGGGUCCAAGAUGCACUGGAAAAUAAGACUUUGAAUAAGAAUACAAGUGUAACAUCUGGGCACAAUAAACAUGGCUUCAGGACAGAUCCAAAAAAAGUAGGGCUGGGCGAUUUUGAAAAUUAAAACCGUGCAUUUACAAUUAUUUUGUUUAUCAAAGUAUCACUAUUUUCACAAGCUGUGCUGACAUUUACAUCUAACACUGAAUGUGACCCUGGACCACAAUAUCGGUCAUAAGGGUCAAUUUAUUUAAAUUGAAAUCUAUACAUCAUCUGAAAGUUUAAUAAAUAAGCUUUAGGGCAACAUUUAACUGAGAUACAACUAUUUGAAAAUGUAAUCUGAGGUUGUGAAAAAAAGAAAUAAAAUGGCUAAAUAUUUAAGUAAAUGACCUUUAAAGUUGUCCAAAUUAAGUUCUUAGCAAUGGAUAUUACUAAUCCAAAAUUAAGGUUUGAUAUAUUUACUAAAGAUGCCGGGGCCUUGAGCAAGGCAUGGCCGGGGGCUUGAGCGAGGAACAGAUGGGGGCUUGAGUGAGGAACGGCCGGCAGGUGGUGCAUGAACUUCAUGCACCAAAAGCUUGUAAACUCCGAAGAGAAAGGAAAGAUUUUAAUUGCUUCAUAUGAACCCUUUAAGACCCGUUUUCUUUCAGGGUAACAUAUUGUAUAUGCUGUGC
ensembl:lncRNA